GAUGAACGCUGGCGGCGUGCCUAAUACAUGCAAGUCGAGCGAACAGACGAGGAGCUUGCUCCUCGGACGAUAGCGGCGGACGGGUGAGUAACACGUGGAUAACCUACCUAUAAGACGGGGAUAACUUCGGGAAACCGGAGCUAACACCGGAUAAGAUGCUGAUUCGCAUGGUUCAACAGUAAAAGACGGUCUUGCUGUCACUUAUAGAUGGAUCUGCGCCGCAUGAGCUAGUUGGUAAGGUAAAGGCUUACCAAGGCAACGAUGCGUAGACGACCGGAGAGAGGGAUCGGCCACACGGGAAGUGGGACACCGACAAGGCUCCUACGGGAGGCAGCAGUAGGGAAUGUGCCGCAAUGGUCGAAAGCAUGACGGAGCAACGCGGAGUGAGUGAAGACGGUCUCGGGAGCGUAAAACUCUGUUAUGAGGGGAGAACAAAUGUGUAAGUAGCUAUGCACGUCUUGACGGUACCUAAUCAGAAAGCCACGGCUAACUACGUG
rnacentral:rRNA from 1 species